rnacentral:rRNA from 1 species
GUAAGGAAUAUUGCGCAAUGGGGGCAACUCUGACGCAGCCAUGCCGCGUGCAGGAAGAAGGCGCUACGCGUUGUAAACUGCUUUUAACCGGGAAGAAACCCCAGGACGUGUCCUGGGUUGACGGUACCGGAGGAAUAAGCACCGGCUAACUUCGUGCCAGCAGCCGCGGUAAUACGAAGGGUGCAAGCGUUAUCCGGAUUCAUUGGGUUUAAAGGGUGCGUAGGCGGAGCGUUAAGUCAGUGGUGAAAUCCUGCAGCUUAACUGUAGACUUGCCAUUGAUACUGGCGCUCUUGAGUGCGCUUGAAGUGGGCGGAAUGUGCCGUGUAGCGGUGAAAUGCUUAGAUAUGGCACAGAACACCAAUUGCGAAGGCAGCUCACUAAGGCGAUACUGACGCUGAGGCACGAAAGCGUGGGGAUCGAACAGGAUUAGAUACCCUUGUAGUCC